rnacentral:rRNA from 1 species
GACGAACGCUGGCGGCGUGCUUAACACAUGCAAGUCGAACGAAGAGCGACGGAAGCUUGCUUCUAUCAAUCUUAGUGGCGAACGGGUGAGUAACGCGUAAUCAACCUGCCCUUCAGAGGGGGACAACAGUUGGAAACGACUGCUCAUACCGCAUACGAUCUAACCUCGGCAUCGAGGAUAGAUGAAAGGUGGCCUCUACAUGUAAGCUAUCACUGAAGGAGGGGAUUGCGUCUGAUUAGCUAGGUGGAGGGGUAACGGCCCACCAAGGCGAUGAUCAGUAGCCGGUCUGAGAGGAUGAACGGCCACAUUGGGACUGAGACACGGCCCAGACUCCUACGGGAGGCAGCAGUGGGGAAUCUUCCGCAAUGGACGAAAGUCUGACGGAGCAACGCCGCGUGAGUGAUGACGGCCUUCGGGUUGUAAAGCUCUGUUAAUCGGGACGAAAGGCCUUCUUGCGAAUAGUGAGAAGGAUUGACGGUACCGGAAUAGAAAGCCACGGCUAACUACGUG